rnacentral:rRNA from 1 species
CCUACGGGGGGCAGCAGUGGGGAAUAUUGCACAAUGGGGGAAACCCUGAUGCAGCGACGCCGCGUGGGUGAAGGAGUAUUUCGGUAUGUAAAGCCCUAUCAGCAGGGAAGAUAAUGACGGUACCUGACUAAGAAGCCCCGGCUAACUACGUGCCAGCAGCCGCGGUAAUACGUAGGGGGCAAGCGUUAUCCGGAUUUACUGGGUGUAAAGGGAGCGUAGACGGCAGCGCAAGCCUGGAGUGAAAGGAUGGGGCCCAACCCCAUGACUGCUCUGGGAACUGUGCGGCUAGAGUGCCGGAGGGGUAAGCGGAAUUCCUAGUGUAGCGGUGAAAUGCGUAGAUAUUAGGAGGAACACCAGUGGCGAAGGCGGCUUACUGGACGGUAACUGACGUUGAGGCUCGAAAGCGUGGGGAGCAAACAGGAUUAGAUACCCCGGUAG